GUCUACAUAGAUUAUACCAUAAAUCAUGAUGCUGUUAACUUCAAGAAGAACGUAGUUU
rnacentral:tRNA from 1 species